rnacentral:rRNA from 1 species
UACGAGAGGCCCAAACGUUAUUCGGAAUUACUGGGCUUAAAGAGUUCGUAGGCGGCGCAGAAAGUAGGGUGUGAAAGCCCUCGGCUUAACCGAGGAAUUGCGCUCUAAACUACUGUGCUUGAGGAAGCUAGAGGUGAGCGGAACUGAUGGUGGAGCGGUGAAAUGCGUUGAUAUCAUUAGGAACACCGGUGGCGAAAGCGGCUCACUGGGACUCUUCUGACGCUGAGGCACGAAAGCUAGGGGAGCGAACGGGG